GACGAACGCUGGCGGCGUGCUUAAUACAUGCAAGUCAACUGAACUUUAGGUAGCAAUAUUUAAAGGGAGGUGGCGCACGGGUGAGUAACACGUAGGUAAUCUGCCUUCAGGACUGACAUAAUUCCGCGAAAGCGGGACUAAAAUCAGAUGAUGCAGCGGCUCGACAUCGAGACAGUUGUUAAACCUUCGGGGCCUGAAGAUGAGCCUGCGUCUGAUUAGGUAGUUGGCGGGGUAAAAGCCCACCAAGCCUGCGAUCAGUAGCUGGUCUGAGAGGAUGAUCAGCCACACUGGAACUGAGACACGGUCCAGACUCCUACGGGAGGCAGCAGUAAGGAAUAUUGCUCAAUGGCCGAAAGGCUGAAGCAGCAACGCCGCGUGGAGGAUGAAAUACUUUAGUAUGUAAACUCCUGUAAGAGGGGAAAAAGUAUACAGCUAUGCUGUGUU
rnacentral:rRNA from 1 species